rnacentral:rRNA from 1 species
UACGGGGGGGGCAAGCGUUGUUCGGAAUUAUUGGGCGUAAAGGGCGCGUAGGCGGGAUGGCAAGUCGGUCGUGAAAUCCCUCGGCUCAACUGAGGAUCGUCGAUCGAUACUGCCGUUCUUGAGGAUUGCAGAGGAGACUGGAAUUCCCGGUGUAGCGGUGAAAUGUGUAGAGAUCGGGAGGAACACCGGUGGCGAAGGCGGGUCUCUGGGCAAUUCCUGACGCUGAGGCGCGAAAGCGUGGGGAGCAAACGGG